CCCGCUGAAUUUAAGCAUAUCAAUAAGCGGAGGAAAAGAAACUAACUAGGAUUCCCUUAGUAACGGCGAGCGAACAGGGAAGAGCUCAUAACCGAAUCCCGUGGCGUGAUGUCAUUGGGAAAUGUGGUGUAUGGUAGGCCUUAUGCAUUGCCAGUUUCGUUUCAAGUCCACGUGAUUGUGGCUUCUAGCCCAAGGAGGGUGUAAGGCCCGUAGAAGUGGAACUGGUUUUGCUUUUCGUCUGCCUAGAGUCGGGUUGUUUGGGAUUGCAGCCCAAAGUGGUGGUAAACUCCAUCAAAAGCUAAAUACAACACGAGUCCGAUAGCGAACAAGUACCAUGAGGUAAAGUUGAAAAGAACUUUGAAGAGAGAGUUCAACAGUACGUGAAACCGCUCAGAGGUAAGCGGGUAGAGCUGAAAUUUAUUUGGAGAUUGAGGCUUGCUGUCGUGGGCACUGUUGCUGUAUGACUUUACGGCAUCUGCAAUGGUGUGCUGUAGCUACGGUUGGCUGUAUAUCCCAAGUAUUAAUCACGAUCGGCGUUUCAUUCGGGUCUGUCAUUGGUCAGAGGUAUCCCGGCGACUCUCGCGGUUACUGGGCUUUUAUAAUGAUCAGUACGGAGCUCGUUUUUCGUCGAGCAUGGCGGUGCAAGUCAUCUGACACUCAAGUUGUGACAUAGUAGUGACUGAGCGGGCGACUCUUCGGAGUUUUUCGCGACUGUUAUUGCUACUGCUGCAGCCUCUGAGUCUUGUGCCAAUAAUCGUGAUUUUCUUGUAAGCUGUCUACCCGGCCCGUCUUGAAACACGGACCAAGGAGUCUAACAUGUGCGCGAGUCAUUGGGUUCUACGAAACCUAAAGGCGUAUUGAAAGAGAAGGUUCCCUUCGUUGGAACUGAGGUAUGAUCCGUGCUCCCACGGGGGUGUGGCGCAAUACCGGCUUGUCUCAUGCUUUUUAAGCGAGGCAACGCAAGAGCGUACAUGAUGGUACCCGAAAGAUGGUGAACUAUGCUUGCAUAGGUUGAAGCCAGAGGAAACUCUGGUGGAAGACCGAAGCAAUUCUGACGUGCAAAUCGAUUGCCAAAUGUGAGUAUAGGGGCGAAAGACUAAUCGAACCAUCUAGUAGCUGGUUCCCUCCGAAGUUUCCCUCAGGAUAGCUGGCAUUUAUUGAACAAACAGUUUUAUUCGGUAAAGCGAAUGAUUAGAAGUAUUGGGGAUGAAAUGUCCUCAACUUAUUCUCAAACUUUAAAUGGGUAAGACGUCUCACUCUCUUAAAUUAUGGAGUGGUGACAUCGAAUGUGAAUGCCUAGUGGGCCAUUUUUGGUAAGCAGAACUGGCGAUGUGGAAUGAACCAAAAGCGGUGGCUAAGGUGCCUAACUUAGCGCUCAUGACAUACCACAAAAGGUGUUGGUUGAUAUAGACAGCAGGACGGUGGCCAUGGAAGUUGGAAUCCGCUAAGGAGUGUGUAACAACUCACCUGCCGAAUCAACCAGCCCUGAAAAUGGAUGGCGGUGGAGCGUUAGACCUAUGCCGCGCCGUUACUGCAAGCUUCGAGCUUGGACGCGGUAACGUGUAGGAGGGCAACGUGGUAAGCGUUGAAGCUUCGAGUGUAAACUCGGGUGGAGCUGCCAUGUGAGCAGAUCUUGGUGGUAGUAGCAAGUAUUCAAGUGAGAUUCUUGAAGACUGAAGUGGAGAAGGGUUCC
rnacentral:rRNA from 1 species